rnacentral:rRNA from 1 species
CCUACGGGAGGCAGCAGUGGGGAAUAUUGGGCAAUGGGCGCAAGCCUGACCCAGCAACGCCGCGUGAAUGAAGAAGGCUUUCGGGUUGUAAAGUUCUUUCCUCAGGGACGAUGAUAAUGACGGUACCCCAGGAAUAAGCCACGGCUAACUACGUGCCAGCAGCCGCGGUAAUACGUAGGUGGCAAGCGUUAGCCGGAUUUACUGGGUGUAAAGGGGGAGAAGGCGGCACCGCAAGUCAGGUGUGAAAACCACGGGCUCAACCUGUGUACUGCAUUGGAAACUGUAGUGCUUGAGUGCAGGAGGGGCAAGCGGAAUUCCUAGUGUAGCGGUGAAAUGCGUAGAUAUUAGGAGGAACACCAGUGGCGAAGGCGGCCUACUGGACUGCAACUGACGCUGAGGCGCGAAAGCGUGGGGAGCAAACAGGAUUAGAUACCCGAGUAGUC